rnacentral:rRNA from 1 species
UACGUAGGGUGCAAGCGUUAUCCGGAAUUAUUGGGCGUAAAGAGCUCGUAGGCGGUUUGUCACGUCGGCUGUGAAAUCCCGAGGCUCAACCUCGGGUCUGCAGUCGAUACGGGCAAACUAGAGUAUUGCAGGGGAGACUGGAAUUCCUGGUGUAGCGGUGAAAUGCGCAGAUAUCAGGAGGAACACCGGUGGCGAAGGCGGGUCUCUGGGCAAUAACUGACGCUGAGGAGCGAAAGCGUGGGGAGCGAACAGG